rnacentral:rRNA from 1 species
GGGAGUAGCAAUACUCCUAGUGGCGAACGGGUGAGUAACGCGUUGGUGACCUGCCCCGGAGUGUGGGAUACCAGGCCGAAAGGCUUGCUAAUACCGCAUGCGCAAAGGGACGACUAGAAAGCUCUUUGCAAAGGAGUAAUCCGCUCUGGGAGGGGCCUGCGACCCAUCAGCUAGUUGGUAAGGUAACGGCUUACCAAGGCGAUGACGGGUAGGGGACCUGAGAGGGUGGCCCCCCACAAUGGAACUGAAACACGGUCCAUACACCUACGGGUGGCAGCAGUAGGGAAUAUUGCUUAAUGGGCGCAAGCCUGAAGCAGCAACGCCGCGUGUGCGAUGAAGGCCUUCGGGUUGUAAAGCACUUUUAGCAGGGAAGAGGAAGGACGGUACCUGCUGAAUAAGCCUCGGCUAACUACGUGCCAGCAGCCGCGGUAAAACGUAGGAGGCGAGCGUUAUCCGGAUUUACUGGGUGUAAAGCGCGUGCAGGCGGUUGGCUAAGUUGGGUGUGAAAGCUCCUGGCUCAACUGGGAGAGGUCGCUCAAGACUGGUAGACUAGAGAGCAGUAGGGGAAGGUGGAAUUCCGGGUGUAGUGGUGAAAUGCGUAGAUAUCCGGAGGAACACCAGUGGCGAAGGCGGCCUUCUGGACUGCAUCUGACGCUCAGACGCGAAAGCUAGGGUAGCAAACGGGAUUAGAGACCCCGGUAGUCCUAGCCGUAAACGAUGUGAACUUGGCGCCGGGCGGGUAAAACCGAUCGGUGCC